ACUAGCCAGUCUUUUGGGUAUGAAACCCAUUUGGGCGAGAGUAGUACUAGGAUGGGUGACCUCCUGGGAAGUCCUCGUGAAANAGUC
rnacentral:rRNA from 1 species